rnacentral:tRNA from 2 species
GUCGGGGCGGGUGGCGGGGCAGCCACUACCGGUUUUGGUGGUGGAACCGGUUUGGGUGGCGGGGUCGGCUUGGGUUCCGGUGCCGGUGCCGGCU